CUACGGGUCGCAGCAGUGGGGAAUAUUGCACAAUGGGCGCAAGCCUGAUGCAGCAAUACCGCGUGUGUGAAGAAGGCCUGCGGGUUGUAAAGCACUUUCAAUAGUGAAGAAAAGCCUGGUGUUAACACCACCGGGUCUUGACGUUAACUAUACAAGAAGCACCGGCUAACUCCGUGCCAGCAGCCGCGGUAAUACGGAGGGUGCAAGCGUUAAUCGGAAUUACUGGGCGUAAAGCGUGCGUAGGCGGCUUAUUAAGUCAGAUGUGAAAGCCCCGGGCUUAACCUGGGAACUGCAUUUGAUACUGGUAAGCUAGAGUAUGGUAGAGGGGGGUAGAAUUCCUAGUGUAGCGGUGAAAUGCGUAGAUAUUAGGAGGAAUACCAGUGGCGAAGGCGGCCCCCUGGACCAAUACUGACGCUGAGGUACGAAAGCGUGGGUAGCGAACAGGAUUAGAUACCCCGGUAGUC
rnacentral:rRNA from 1 species